CUUUAUAAGAGUUUUAAAAAGAUUUUAAAAUGAUUUACAAAGUGAUAAUAGGUUUUUGAGAUCAAUUAAUCCUAAAGCACUAUCAUGUCGUUGUAGUACUAAAGGUUGUCAAUCCAAAUGGUUGUGAUGCUAACAAUCAAGAUGUGAUCAGAAGUCACUAAGUCAAGCGAAGCAAUAACAGGUUUUGGUGUGUUCUAGCAGUUCUAAUUGAACAUGUAGAAAACAGAAAAUCAAGCAGAAACAAUAAAACACUCGACCAACACAGCUCGUUGCAGAGUACUGGGUGUGGUCGAGUGACAGGUCAAGUAACAAACAGAAAAUGUAACAGGGAUACUCGGCUGCACAGUCUGUUGCCAGACAACUGGGUGGUCGAGUACCAGGUCGAGUAACAGUAAAGAAUUGCAGGAACUAAGCAACAGAUGAUAAGAUGCAGUUAACAACAGUAGAGUAAACAUUAAAAUCAAUCAAAUAAAGAAUUCCCGAGGAUGGGUAGUUGAGUAGUUUUGUUUCCUCAGUUUACAGGUGAUUGACAUGCUUAAUAAAUUAUCCCUAGACAACAAGUUCCUUAACCAAAUCUAAGUUAACCUAGUCCCAGACUCAAUCACCAUUGACGAGAGCUAACCUAAUAGGCAUUACGAAUCAACAAGUUAAAGCCAAAACGCUCCCUGCAACCAAUACCUUGGUACAGGGCCACGAAUCUCUGGAAUUAGUGGUUUAGACAUUUCAUCGAACACCUUUUGGGCGCAGAAAUGUCUAGGCUCAAAUUCCAGUUGAUCAGAAAGAAAUAAGCAUUAAGAACAACUAAUCCAGAAGGGAUCUAUCAAUCAAACUCAACCACCUAGCAUACUGAGAAUUCUACAUUACUCUAACCCAUCCUCAAAAACCUAUUAACUACUCAGACAUCAUUGCAGAAAGCAUAAACGUUGAAUGGAAUGAAAACAUGAUAACAAUAGAGUAAUAGCAAGAUGGUAACAGGAUGGACAACAGUAAACGAAAUCAAGAACAAAUAGUGAAUACUGAAUAUUGAAUAGAUAAAGAGAAAUCCGGAUUACAAAAGGUCAAGAACACAGUGUCUGCGGAAUAAAACUUAGAUAAAAACU
rnacentral:sRNA from 1 species